rnacentral:rRNA from 1 species
GGGGGGGGGCAAGCGUUGUUCGGAAUUACUGGGCGUAAAGGGCGCGCAGGCGGCCUGGGCAAGUCCUUCGUGAAAUCCCACAGCUCAACUGUGGAACUGCGGAGGAUACUGCUAGGCUUGAGUCCGGGAGAGGGGAGUGGAAUUCCCAGUGUAGCGGUGAAAUGCGUAGAUAUUGGGAGGAACACCAGUGGCGAAGGCGGCUCCCUGGACCGGUACUGACGCUGAGGCGCGAAAGCUAGGGGAGCAAACGGGAUUAGAUACCCCGGUAGUCCUAGCUGUAAACGUUGAGCACUUGGUGUGGCGGGUGUCGACCCCUGCCGUGCCGAAGCUAACGCAUUAAGUGCUCCGCCUGGGGAGUACGGUCGCAAAGGCUG